rnacentral:rRNA from 1 species
CAGCAGCCGCGGUAAUACGUAGGUGGCGAGCGUUGUCCGGAAUUAUUGGGCGUAAAGGGCUCGCAGGCGGUUUCUUAAGUCUGAUGUGAAAGCCCCCGGCUCAACCGGGGAGGGUCAUUGGAAACUGGGAAACUUGAGUGCAGAAGAGGAGAGUGGAAUUCCACGUGUAGCGGUGAAAUGCGUAGAGAUGUGGAGGAACACCAGUGGCGAAGGCGACUCUCUGGUCUGUAACUGACGCUGAGGAGCGAAAGCGUGGGGAGCGAACAGGAUUAGAUACCCCCGUAGUCCCUGUCUCUAUACA